ACUAUACCUAUAUCAUUACAUUCCAAAAGUUGUAUCAAUUGGUUCAAAUUUGACUGAGUUAUAGUGGAAAACAGACGAAUAUAGAAGCCACCGCCCAAGUGGCGCGAUUCCCUAGACCGAACCAUCAUAAAAUUUUGUCCAUGCAAAACCAAAAUUGCAUGAAGUUACAACUUUGCCUCUCCUCAUGAAGUAUAUGUGAUUUAUGAACAAACUCCUAGUUGAAUCAAAUUAAUGGAUUUUUAUUUCUGGGGCACCCAUCAAUAAUACAAAUACCGCUAACUCUUCUGUAGUUUUCUGUAGUUACACUAUUCAUUUGAAGAUGUAUAGUAAAUAGUAGUAGUUCAUAUAACCAAUAUCUAUAUGACUUCCUCAAUCCUCUUUGUAAGAUUUGGUAGAUAGUUGUCGACGCAGAAGAUGGUCAUCUGGCAACCCUGCCGCCAACCGAUUCGGAAGCGUCGCUUUCAACAGUUGGAAGCGUCGCGUCGAUGCCAGUGACAGCUGUCACUAGGAGAGAGCAAGCUGUCAACGUCCCGUUUCCGGUGAACAGUUUGACAUCGCAGAUAGACUAGUGUGGUAGUUUAGUUAUUCACUAUUAUAUUAAAUUAAUUUGAAUUAGUGAGUUAUGUGAGUUACACUCUGUAGUGAAUUUACGUUGCCAACAGUUACGCUACAAAAGUGAAUUGGAAAGUGAAUAAUAGCGAAUCAGUUUAUUCACAAUAGUCCGACACGCGAUCUCCAGUUUGUCCGCAUCGGUUCGUCGUCAUCCGUUGAUUUGCAAGCUGAAAAGAAAGUAAGGAAACUUUAAAACAUGUUUGAGUAAAGUUGUUGAAACCAAAAUUAAAUUUCCUUGACAAAGGUGAUACGCCACGUGGAUGUCAGACUGCAGGCUAUAGGGUGAAAAUUGCAUAAAGGCUAACCGAAUUGUAAGCUCUAAAACCCUCGCUAAAACCUACCUGAAAAUAUUUGUACUUACCCUUUAAUUCGUUUUCAGUUGAAGCACAGCAUUAAAACACUCGCUAUCAAACCCGGCUACGCUUUAUUUUCACCCUAACCCCCGUAACAAUAGUAUAACAGCAUUGAUUGAAACACGAGAGCUCUUAUAUCAUGAUAUUAUUCGCAUGGUUAAUUAUUUUAUGAACAAUAAUUUUAUUGACGAAUCUGAUUUGAAAUAUUUGAAUAGUAAUUUUUGUUGAGCCAUAUUAAAAUAAUCACUAUCAUUAUCAAUGAAUGCUAUCCACUCAGGAUCUUCGCUACAUUAAAUUUUAAAUUACUGGAGGCUUCACUUAUUAACAAAUUUACAACAAACACGCUAUAACAGUAUCUAGAGAAUCGUGGAGGGUGAGAAACCUGAACUAGUAGCAGUAUUCACAUAGAUUAACAAUUAUACUCUAUUAUUUUCAAUCAUUGCAACAUUAUACUAAUAUGUGCGGGCCGCCCAUUUGCGGAGUUGUGCGGCCAAUUAUUCUCUUUCCAUUCCAGAAACGACCGUUUUGAAGCAAGAAGUGUCCUAAUGGCCAACACAAACGGGACUUGUCCGAAACACACAAGAUAAGUACAACAAUUUUAUAAUCAGGCACCCAACUCUUUCUACUACUUUGCUAAUAGAUAAUGCAAUAUGCAUACUUCAAUAUCAAUUAUUUGUUUGUUUGCGCCUUUAUUUAUGACACUAUUGAAGCAUUCGUGUCGCCGCGAAAUAGUUUACAAUUUAUCUUAUUCACAUUUUUUAAUUCACUUUAAAGUAUCUAACACUGCUUUUACAAUUGUGUAUGUAAACUUGUAUCCUAAUUAUGUUCAUUAUUAAUAGUAGUCUGAUAAUCCAAGUCUAGUGAUUUUUUUUGUCCAAGGAAUAGAAAGAGUUGGUGUCAUAAUCAAUACAAUACUUGAAACUGGAAACUCCUUAUUUCCCCCUAUGGGUUAUAGGGAGGGGCGGGACAUUCGAGCCUACUCAUCAGUGGAAAGGACUUGAUAUGCUAAUCGGUUUAGCAUAGGGCAGAUCAAGUCUACUGGUAGACGUAUCGCCCAGCGAAACAACGCAGAUUGGCCACGGCCCGGGGGUGCGUUGAUUAUAACAGAAUAACAGAAUGUAGGCAUAGGCGAGGCAUAAUUAAGCAUUUUGUCAUUAAAUGCACACUCAGGAAAAUUGCCUCAUACUUAAUGUUCCGCUUUACCAAAUGACUAAAAGUGAUUAUUUCGCGUGUUAUUGUGUUUGAGAGGCCCCCGCGGAACCUGUUCCAAGUGUUCUGGAGCUGUCAUAUCAGUUGAUACAUACUUAAGUCAUUUUUUCUGCCCCAUUCUUUCGAAAUCAUUAAGAUUGAUACGUCGCACUGCAUGUUUAGGUUGAAAACCAGAAUUGUCCCCAAUGCGGCCGCACUUCACGUAUUUUGACUAAGUUUUCAAGGCAAACGGCUUUUUAACUAAUGUUUCGUCAUCAAUUCAUUGGAUUUGAGAUAGCUAAAAAGCAACAAUCAAACAAUUUGUUUAGAAAAUUUGGAAAUUUGUAGUAAAAAUACAAGGUGUUCAUUAUGUCCCGCCUACCCCUACUCCAAAUACUUUGUCCAUAAACAUUCAGUAGAUUAGGCGUGUCUAGAUCGUCUUCUCCAGUUCUCCAUAAUUUCUAACAACAAAUGAUGAUUGGCCCGUUUCCCCGAAAGUCAGUUUCCUUUUUUUCCCUAAAUUUUCAGGUUAAAAAGAAAUGCGACGACGAACGUGCCAAGCGAGAUGGCCUGAAUGCCCAACUGUUGUGUCUGGUCGAGCAACAGCGCAAAUACGCUGCAACCGUUAAACAACUGACCGCCGAGUGCCAGCGAAACGAGGCCCUGCUACGACGCCACCAGCUACUACAGGCGGAUCUCGAACCGAGCGAAUAAUCUCCAUAAAACUAUAUAUUCAAAUAUAAUCACAUUUUACCCAAGCUAGGAAAAACUCGAA